CAGCCGCCGCGGGAAUACGAAGGGGGCUAGCGUUGCUCGGAAUUACUGGGCGUAAAGGGCGCGUAGGCGGACAGCUUAGUCAGAGGUGAAAGCCCAAGGCUCAACCUUGGAACUGCCUUUGAUACUGGCUGUCUUGAGUUCGGGAGAGGUGAGUGGAAUGCCGAGUGUAGAGGUGAAAUUCGUAGAUAUUCGGCGGAACACCAGUGGCGAAGGCGACUCACUGGCCCGGUACUGACGCUGAGGCGCGAAAGCGUGGGGAGCAAACAGGAUUAGAUACCCCCGUAGUCCCUGUCUCUUAUAC
rnacentral:rRNA from 1 species